UGCAAGUCGAACGGCAGCGCGGGGCAACCUGGCGGCGAGUGGCGAACGGGUGAGUAAUAUAUCGGAACGUACCCAAGAGUGGGGGAUAACGUAGCGAAAGUUACGCUAAUACCGCAUACGAUCUAAGGAUGAAAGCAGGGGACCGCAAGGCCUUGUGCUCCUGGAGCGGCCGAUAUCUGAUUAGCUAGUUGGUAGGGUAAAGGCCUACCAAGGCUACGAUCAGUAGCUGGUCUGAGAGGACGACCAGCCACACUGGAACUGAGACACGGUCCAGACUCCUACGGGAGGCAGCAGUGGGGAAUUUUGGACAAUGGGCGCAAGCCUGAUCCAGCAAUGCCGCGUGAGUGAAGAAGGCCUUCGGGUUGUAAAGCUCUUUUGUCAGGGAAGAAACGGUGGGAGCUAAUAUCUCCCGCUAAUGACGGUACCUGAAGAAUAAGCACCGGCUAACUACGUGCCAGCAGCCGCGGUAAUACGUAGGGUGCAAGCGUUAAUCGGAAUUACUGGGCGUAAAGCGUGCGCAGGCGGUUUUGUAAGUCUGAUGUGAAAUCCCCGGGCUCAACCUGGGAAUUGCAUUGGAGACUGCAAGGCUAGAAUCUGGCAGAGGGGGGUAGAAUUCCACGUGUAGCAGUGAAAUGCGUAGAGAUGUGGAGGAACACCGAUGGCGAAGGCAGCCCCCUGGGUCAAGAUUGACGCUCAUGCACGAAAGCGUGGGGAGCAAACAGGAUUAGAUACCCUGGUAGUCCACGCCCUAAACGAUGUCUACUAGUUGUCGGGUUUUAAUUAACUUGGUAACGCAGCUAACGCGUGAAGUAGACCGCCUGGGGAGUACGGUCGCAAGAUUAAAACUCAAAGGAAUUGACGGGGACCCGCACAAGCGGUGGAUGAUGUGGAUUAAUUCGAUGCAACGCGAAAAACCUUACCUACCCUUGACAUGUACGGAAGCCACGAGAGAUCGAG
rnacentral:rRNA from 1 species